CGAACGAACGCUGGUGGCGUGUUUUAUACAUGCAAGUCGAGCGAGGACGGUAGCAAUACCGAGCCGAGCGGCGAACGGGUGAGUAACGCGUAAGCAAUCUGCCCCACAAUCGGGAACAACCGUGCCAACGCGCGGCUAAUGCCGGAUAUUGUAGUCUACUGCAUAGUAGGCCAACGAAAGAUUUAUUGUUGUGGGAUGAGCUUGCGUCCGAUUAGCUAGUUGGCGGGGUAAUAGCCCACCAAGGCGACGAUCGGUAGCCGGCCUGAGAGGGUGAUCGGCCACAUUGGGACUGAGAUACGGCCCAGACUCCUACGGGAGGCAGCAGUAGGGAAUAUUGCGCAAUGGGGGGAACCCUGACGCAGCAACGCCACGUGUGGGAAGAAGCAUUUCGGUGUGUAAACCACUGUCGGAAAGGAAUAACGGAAGACUUCGGUCUUUAUGAAUGUACUUUUUAGAGGAAGCACCGGCAAACUUCGUG
rnacentral:rRNA from 1 species